rnacentral:rRNA from 1 species
GAUGAACGCUGGCGGCGUGCCUAAUACAUGCAAGUCGAGCGAACGGACGAGACGCUUUCUUCCCUUGUGUUAGCGGCGGACGGGUGAGUAACACGUGGAUAAACCACCUAUAAGAAUGGGGUAACUUAGGGAAACCGUAGCUUAUACCGGCUAAUAUUUUGAACCGCAUGGUUCAAAACUGUCAGACGUUCUUGCUGUCACUUAUAGAUGGUUCCGCUCUGCAUUAGCUAGUUGGUAAGGUAACGGCUUACCAAGGCCACGAUGCAUAGCCGAUCUGAGAGGGUGAUCGGCCACACUGGAACUGAGACACGGUCCAGACUCCUACGGGAGGCAGCAGUAGGGAAUCUUCCGCAAUGGGCGAAAGCCUGACGGAGCAACGCCGCGUGAGUGAUGAAGGUCUUCGGAUCGUAAAGCUCUGUUAGUAGGGAAGAACAUAUGUGUAAGUAACCGUGCACAUAUUGACGGUACCUAAACAGAAAGCCACGGCUAACUACGUG